ACCCUCCGGAUCCUUCUCCCAUCGAUCUAGUUGCUGGUCUUGGUAAUUGCAAAGCAGGAAGAUUACACUGAAGCUGUCCUCACUGAGAUGUGAUUUGGUAGAGAGCAUGUGGGUCAGGUUCAAGCAGGC